AGAGCACUUUUUCCAUACUCUCUUCCUACCCAGCCUGCUGUUCCUCAUAGCUCUGUAUAAACAUCAACCACUCACAGAUGCCUCAGAAGCAGUACACUAAUCAGAGUAGUAGUGUUACUUGGGAUAUUCCAGUAUACCAAAUACCUUUCGUGAAUUUAUUACCAAGGUAUGGUCUCAUAGAAAACAGUAGUAUUGAAGGCCAAACCACCUUUUUGUUAACUUUCCUCUUAUGACUUACUUUGUAUAACUUUCUAGUAUUUGUUAAUAUAUAAAUGAAGAAACUAAACUUCGAGGAAGUUAAAUUAGUCCUCUUAAAGUCCCAGGCCAAGUAAGUGGUAGAGUUAAGAUUAAAAACCCCAAUAUAAGACAGCUUCACUCCCUACCAAAAAUGUCUUCUGAGAUUGAGGUUCCCCAGGCUGACUUAUAAAAUAGCUUUAUCCCUCUGAUUUUUGUUUCCUUCCUUUCAGGUGGUCAGAUCUCAGUUAAAUGUGUCCUCCGUCAGUGAGCAUGAUGCACAUCGAGCAGGGCUUAAGCCAGUCAGCAAGUGGCAAGCCUAUGGACUCAAAGACUAUCCUGGAUUUAUUUUUAUCCCCAACCCCUUCCUCCCAGGAUAUCAGUGGCACUGGGUGAAGCAGUGCCUUAAGUUAUACUCCCAGAAACCCAAUGUAUGUAACCUGGACAAGCACAUGACUAAAGAAGAGCCUCAAGACCUGUGGGAACAGAGCAAAGAGUUCCUACGGUGUAAAGAAGUGAAUAAACGGAGACCCCGAAGUUUACUAGAGAAACUGCGCUGGGUGACCUUAGGCUACCAUUAUGACUGGGACAGUAAGGUAUUUCAUUUUCUUAAUUCAUUUGUUUUCCAGGGCCCACAUCGUGUGCCUGUGUGUGUGCAUGUGUGUGUGUGUGUGUGUGUGUGUGUUCAAGCUUAAAGUAUCAUAACCAUAGCAAAGACUAUCUUAAGUGAAAGGAUCUCUUUCACCUAUUCUGCUUUAAAAAGCUCUCUUGGGCCGGGGAUUUAGCUCAGUGGUUCUGCCGCCUGCCUUGCAAGUGUAAGGACCCAAGUUCAAUCCUCAGUACCAAAAAAAAAUCAAAAACAAAAAAAAACGAAUUUUCAAGAUCCAGAUAACUUUACCUGCCAGGAGAUGCCAGAUAAAUGUCUAGCCAGGGGAAGGGUGGGAAUUAAUUUCCUACAAUUAAGAAAGUUCUAAGUUUUCUUGAGCUACAAUGUUUUCCUUAUGUCUUCUGUGCUUCAAAAAAAUGCGUCCUUUGUCACUAGCAGCAUAGUGUUCUCAUCUCAGUGAGUUGUUUGCCACCAAGUGGGAGGACUAAUUCUAAGAAUAAUCUGAGUAAAACAUACUGGUGGAGACCGUUUUCUCUGCCGAAAGGUUCGGUUUUUUAGCAACCAACUUAAUAACAAAUAUAUUAACUGUUCCAAGUAAUGACAAAUGUUGCUUAAAAAAUAUUUACAAUAUAGGCUGGGGAUUUAGCUCAGUGGCACCACACCUACCUUGAAAGCUCAAGGUCAUGAGUUCGAUCUCUGGUACUGCAAAAAAAAGAAAAAAGAAUUCCAAUAUAAUUCUUAAUUUCGCUCAUACAAAUUAAACAAGGUGUUUGUAUUUAGGGAAGUGGCCAGGUGAUUUUAUUUGAGUUACAGUCUAGGUUUGAUUCCUGCCUCCAGUGAUAAUAUAUGCCUCAUAAAUUGUGUGUAAGAAUUAAGUGAUUAUACCAGUGCCUGGCUGUUCUAAGCAGUUAGCUGCAUUAGUAGAUAAAAAAGUUAGCUAUUGUUUUUAAUAUUUUAUUUGAUACUGGGUUUUGGGGGAUUUUUUGUUUUUUGUGUUUUGGGGGUUUUUUUGGUACCGGGGAUUGAACUCAGGACCUUGCGCUUGCUAGGCAGGCGUGGUUUCAGUGAGUUACAUCCCCGGCCCUGAUACUGUUAUUUUUAAGAACCUCAGAGUUAGCCUUGUUUGCUAGGAAAAUGGAAAGUGAAAAUUAUCAAAACUUCUGAAUAGCCAGGAUUUAGCUCAGUGGUUCUGGCGCCUGCCUCGCAACCGCAAGGUCCCGAGUUUGAUCCCCGGUACCAAAAAAAACCAAACAAACAAAACUUCUGAAUAAUCAGAGAAAACUAAAAAUUGAGGGAGGAGUUCGACAAAACAUAGUAUACUAUAAAAAAUAAUACAUAGAUAGAUAGGGUUGAAAGGCCAAAAAGCUUUAAUUAUUCCAUCAUAGCAGAAGCUGUGUAGCUCUAGAAUGGCUACCCAGACAGGUCAGUCUUCUAAGGGACUAAAGCUUAAAAUGAUAGAGGAAACCUUUGUAAUCUCUAGCUAUAUCUUUAGUUUUGAGAAUUACAUAGGAUCUCUUCUUGUUUACAGUUCAGUAAAAGGAGAACUUUACAAAAGUGUUCCUUGCACCUGAAAUUAAAGCUCACUUCUGCCAGAGUAAGGCCCUUCUUUCCAGAGCUGUGGCUUUGUUGUUCCAGCUAGAAUACAUCAGGAUACUAGUAAAAAUGUCAGAAAAAGUACAUUUUCUGACACCACAUUAAAGGUUGAUAUAGCAAAGAAAGAGAUGAGAGCAGAGGAGCAUCAAGACAAGGGAGAGUGUGUAGGGCUACUACAGCCACACAGCCAAACAUCCCUCAGAGUCAUCUGUAUAGGAAGCUGUAAAUGAACAUCAGAAACAUAACUGCAGCCUUGUUCUUAAAAGUUGUGUACCGCAAAAUCUUUUAGAGAGUAUUUUAACCUUUGUUUAUUUGGUGGGGGGGCACUUACAAUCCUUAGAUGCUAAAAACAGAAGCAUUUUGGGGAAAUAAGUGCUGAAAAUAUUUCCCUUUUAGAGUCCUGCCUUGGCCAUGAUAUAAGUCAGACUUAAUUCAGAUGAGUUGAGCACGUCAUUUUAUCAGUUUGACCUGUGAAAUUGGCAGUAAGCCAUGAUGCAGGCUGGUUAUAGUAUUUGAGUUGCUAUUUUAACAAGCUUUUUAUUUUAGGAUAGUUUUAAAUUUAUAGAAAAGUUGAGAAGAUAGUACAGCAAGAUACCAUACCCAGUUCCCCCUACUUAAUAACAUCUUUGAUUACUAUGGUACCUUUGUCUCAAUAAUGAACCAAUAGUAAUACAACAUUAUAACAGUAAAGUCCAUACCUCAUCAGAUCUCCUUAGUUUUUACCUCAUAUACUUCUGUUCCAGAAUCUCAUCCAGGAUACUACAUUACAUUUAGUCAUCAUAUUUACUUAGGUAUCGCGACAGCAACAGCUUUCAGUUGCCUUUUUACCCUAAAAGAACUGUCCUGCUUAGGAUUUGAGUAUACUAGAAAAUGGUGUAGUAAUUGCUUCAUGCAAUUACUUUAUGAAUUUGUGCAUAGCAUGGUGCCUGUCCUUUAGUAGGUGCUCAGUAUUUUGAAUGGUUUAUUAUUAGAUUACUGAAUGCCUUAAGAAUGGAUGGAUGGGGCUCCAGGUGUAGACCAAGGGUAGAAUGCUUGCUUGGUAUACAUGAGGCCCUGUGUUUGAUUAUCAACAUUGAGAAAAAAAAUUGAUGGUGGGUAGAUACCCUGUAUGUUCAUAUUAUUUUGUAAGUUGGGGGAUUUUAACGUGGUAAUUAUUCAUACGCCACAGUUUCCUAUGUUCCUGAGAUCAUUGUUUAUUUUUCUUUAUUUUUCCUACUUUUAUCAAAGAAGUACUCAGCAGAUCAUUAUACACCUUUCCCUUCUGACCUGGCUUUCCUCUCAGAGCAAGUUGCUGCUGCCUGUGGGUUUCAGGGCUUCCGAGCCGAAGCAGGCAUCCUGAAUUACUACUACUUAGACUCCACACUGGGCAUCCAUGUAGACAGAUCUGAACUAGAUCACUCCAGACCCCUGUUAUCAUUCAGGUAAGUUAGUUCCAGGGAUUCUGGAUUGCUUUUUAUUAUUUAAUUCUUUUUUCCAAUGCAUUAAUUUUUUUAAUGGCUCUGUAAUCUUUCAAUUCUGGGAACUUUAACAGUAUAUCAUAAAGUAAAAUUAGCCUUUUAACCCCGUUAGCUCUUUUAAGAGUAAUGCCCAAAUUACAUUUAUUGUUUCUGUUUAAGACACAUGGAGUGUGUGGUUUGUAAUGAAAGGUAUUGUUAGUGCUCUGUGUAAUAGACAAAUGGAAGGCCAUGAAAUAAAGUGAGCAACCUUUUGGAAUAGUGGAACAAAAUACAGAACAAAACACAAAAGCCUGAAAACAUUACUUUCCUUGUCUCUAAACAUCAGUUUCAGUGUGUGCAAGGUACUACACCAGUAUCUCAAGAAAGUGCGGGCCCCUUAUUAAUUGCCUUUAU
rnacentral:lncRNA from 1 species